rnacentral:rRNA from 1 species
CCUACGGGUGGCAGCAGUGAGGAAUAUUGGUCAAUGGGCGAGAGCCUGAACCAGCCAAGUCGCGUGAGGGAGUACUGCCCUAUGGGUUGUAAACCUCUUUUGUCGGGGAGCAAAAGCCGGACGUGUCCGGCUGUGAGAGUACCCGAAGAAAAAGCAUCGGCUAACUCCGUGCCAGCAGCCGCGGUAAUACGGAGGAUGCGAGCGUUAUCCGGAUUUAUUGGGUGUAAAGGGUGCGCAGGCGGAUUGUUAAGUCAGCGGUAAAAUCGUGGGGCUCAACCCCAUCCAGCCGUUGAAACUGGGGAUCUAGAGUGUGCGAGAGGUAUGCGGAAUGCGUGGUGUAGCGGUGAAAUGCAUAGAUAUCACGCAGAACCCCGAUUGCGAAGGCAGCAUACCGGUGCACAACUGACGCUCAGGCACGAAAGCGUGGGUAUCGAACAGGAUUAGAUACCCUUGUAGUC